GAUGAACGCUGGCGGCGUGCCUAAUACAUGCAAGUCGAGCGAACAGACGAGGAGCUUGCUCCUCUGACGUUAGCGGCGGACGGGUGAGUAACACGUGGAUAACCUACCUAUAAGACUGGGAUAACUUCGGGAAACCGGAGCUAAUACCGGAUAAUAUAUUGAACCGCAUGGUUCAAUAGUGAAAGACGGUUUUGCUGUCACUUAUAGAUGGAUCCGCGCCGCAUUAGCUAGUUGGUAAGGUAACGGCUUACCAAGGCGACGAUGCGUAGCCGGCCUGAGAGGGUGAUCGGCCACACUGGAACUGGGACACGGUCCCGACUCCUACGGGAGGCAGCAGUAGGGAAUCUUCCGCAAUGGGCGGAAGCCUGACGGAGCAACGCCGCGUGAGUGAUGAAGGUCUUCGGAUCGUAAAACUCUGUUAUUAGGGAAGAACAAAUGUGUAAGUAACUAUGCACGUCUUGACGGUACCUAAUCAGAAAGCCACGGCUAACUACGUG
rnacentral:rRNA from 1 species